CGGCAAACUCCGUGCCAGCAGCCGCGGUAAUACGGAGGGGGCAAGCGUUGUUCGGAAUUAUUGGGCGUAAAGGGCAUGUAGGCGGUUCGGUAAGUUAAAGGUGAAAUGCCAGGGCUUAACCCUGGAGCUGCUUUUAAUGCUGCCAGACUAGAGUCCGGGAGAGGAUAGCGGAAUUCCUAGUGUAGAGGUGAAAUUCGUAGAUAUUAGGAGGAACACCAGUGGCGAAGGCGGCUAUCUGGUCCGGUACUGACGCUGAGGUGCGAAGGCGUGGGGAGCAAACAGGAUUAGAUACCCUGGUAGUCCAC
rnacentral:rRNA from 1 species